UCAGUAAGAUGUCUAUGGACAGUUCUGCUGAAGUUAGGCCUCAUGGACAUGCCAUCCUCCAGGCACUGUCCCUUCACAGGGACUUUAGCGAUCUGUGGAGGAACAUCAUUUCCGACAAAGAUCGACGCCCUCUGGAGAGGAUCCUGAGGACAGCACAGAGGGUGUAGAAGAAAGCAGCUUAAAGCAGCUUCAGCGGCUACUUUAAAGGCUGCUCUUCACUGUGUGCAUAUUCUUACCGUGCCUGUCAGGGUUUAUAUAUUGUAAAAAAUAAAGUAUUAUUAAAC